AUGGAAUUCUCAACUUAUAAAUCCUUGUGAUCUAUAAGCUUGGACUUGGAGGCUUGCUGGCCCUUGCGGUCGGCUCCUCUUGAAUGCAUUAGCUUGAUUCCGUACGGAUCGGCUCUCAGUGUGAUAAUUGUCUACGCUGUGACCGUGAAGUGUUUUGGCAAGCUUCUAACCGUCCAUUAGGACAACUUUUUAACAUCU
rnacentral:misc_RNA from 1 species